rnacentral:misc_RNA from 1 species
AUUUAGGAAGUUGGUACCAGUGGCGCCUCACAGCGGCAUUUAGAAUCGAACACGAGCUGAAUCGUUCAAUCCGAGGUCAGUUGCAGUUGAGAGUCGAGCACGACCGUCCCACCUACCCACCAACGUGAACUGGUGCGGGACAAAACAACAGGAACGAACGAGAACGAAAGUGGUGGAGGGUGGAAAAAGAACGUGGCUUCUUAAAGUCCCCUUUAAAAAAAAUUAAAUUCACACAACUGAACGCGAUUUUUAAACAAAAAUUUACCUCGUGUGUGUCGUUGGCUCAACUUUAUUUGCAACUACCCAAUUCAUCAAUCACUACGGCCAUUCGCCUUCUUGAAAUCGAAGAGGAUUACCUUUUUUUCUUACUGUCUUCACCGCGUGUUUUUUUUUUUCCUUAGUGUGUUGUGAGUGUCAUUAAUCAACUGGUCAUCUAGAUUCAACCAACGUUGCCGAAAGUACAAUAGCAGAAAAAGAAAAAAAAACGGUUUGGAAUUGAGUGACAGCGGUAGUAGACACUGCCGGGCCAACGCCAUCAGCGGGAGACACGCCGGAGCCUACCAUGCGCCAUGACGGCGAUCGAUGCGAGCGUUUCGGAACUGUCGUCAUCGUUGGUCGUCAGACGUCCUCUGUCGAUGUUGCUACCGCCUUCGCCUUCAUCCGAAUUCGCCCUGUUUGCCUCAGCGUCCAGCACCAGUGGUAAUCACGGCGCUUCACAAGCCAUUAACGCAUCACCUGGCGGUGGUGGCACGACCAACGGUGUAGUUGUUUUACCUACCGAAUUGCUCCUGUCCUCGCCAGUUGGCACGGAGUCGUCUGCUCUUCAACUCGUCGGUUGUUAUGGCGACCAUUCGGCUAAUCAUUCAUCGGAAGACAGGAGGCAUCUGGUGACGAUUGGCGGUGUAGGGGAUAUUAGCCGGUGUAGUAGCAAUGGCAGUAAUAACAAUUGGCUGGCCGAUUUAAGCGUUGAAGUAUGUAAAGUGGAAACGAUCGGAGAAGAAGGAAGCGACAAUAGCGGCGGAGGAGGUGGAGGAGGAAGCGGGGGAGGUGAGUGCGGUGGCGGCAGUGACGAUUGGGACGAGUCCGUCUUUUUCGAAGCCGCAGCUGCCGCCGCCGCUAGUUGUUGCGCUACCGGACAGGCCAGUCAUCUCCAUCAUAAUCCGCAUCAUCAGCACGACGUCGGCAACAACCUGGACGUUCUCCUGGGCAAUCCCAAUCUCCACCAUUCGAGUGGCGGUACUGAUCUGCUGGAACUGGACGUUCAAAAUUGCUGUACAGUCGAUUUCCCCUUGUCGCCUAAGCAGCUCCUCCUGGGCGGCAGUGGUGGUGGAGGAGGAGGAGGUUCAUCGGGUAAUAGCAGGAGUAGUAGCAGCAUAAGUAGCAGCAGCAGUAAUAGCAACAGCAGCUGCUGCCCCGAAGACGGCCAACUGAUUGCCAGUGCCGGACUGUUGUCGUCUCCUCCGUCGACGCCGUCGCCUUCAUCCUCAGGCGGUGGCGGUUCAACACGACAACUGCAACAGCAGCAGCCGUUGCCGCAACCGCCGCAGCCCUGCUCAGUAAGUGACAAAAUGUGUAGCAAAGUGUUUACGAGCACGUCGGCCCUGGCCAAACACAAACUGACGCACAGCGACGAACGCCGAUUUUCAUGUCAAUUGUGCGGCAAAGCUUUUAAACGCCAGGAUCACUUAAACGGACAUUUAAUUACGCACCGUGAAAAGAAGCCAUUCGAAUGCCGGGCGGAUGGAUGCGGUAAAUCGUAUUGCGACGCGCGGUCGCUACGACGCCAUCAAGACAAUCAUCACGCGCCACCGGGCAGUUUAGCUCUUGCCGGAACGAUCCAGCAGGCGCCGAGUCCGACCGGACUCGGUUCUUCGUUGCCUUCGAGAUCGGCGUCAUCGGCUUCGUCGAAUGCUGGGCUGUUUAUCAGCGAAUUGAGCGGCGGAUCACCCGGUCUUGUUAUGCCGACGCCAUCCGCCGGAUCGACGCAUUAUCCGGCGCCCGGCAGCAAUGGCAGCUCGACGACAUCCAGCGGCGCGAACAGUGGCCAUUUCCAGGUCAAUCAGGCGACGGAAAAUGGGCAGCAAUUCGCCGGAUGGGUCACGAAUUCGGCCGCAACGUCAGGCCACGAUUCCAUCAUUUCGCUGGAUUCGCGCGCUGCACAGUACGGCUCCGUUCCUCCCGGCACGGCUAAUGGCGAUCGUUACCUGCCAGCCGAGAAUCAAGACGGCCAUCAGGCGCAGGUCACCUGGACAUCGGCACCGGCCGAAAGUGUGUCGCCUCCGAAAGGAGCUAAAAAGCAAGGGACACAUUCGGCGGCCAUGAAAAUAGCAGAGAAGCCGAAUAAUAGCAAGGUCGACGGUGCUGGAACAAAUGGAAAAAUUCCGUCUCCGUCAAUGCCGGCAGCAGCGGCGGCUGCUGUCGUCGUCGUCAAAUCAACGAAGAAGGCGAAGGGGUCGAAAAUGCAACAGAAUGGCAAGGCCGCCGCAGGAGCCUCGUCUACCAAGAAUAAUGGCAAUUCGAAGAAAAUGGCGACGGAUUCCAGCACGGCAGCCAAUAACGACGGACUGACGACCCAGCAAUUGGAACUCAUCCAGGAAAUAAUGCGGCAGACGCAAGAGCAGCACAGGUUGAUGCAGGAGGAGCAACAGCUUAUCCAGCACAAACCCGCCCAACCGUCGCAUCACACGGCUUCCGGGCCGGCAACGGCCAAAGCGAAGAAGACCAAUAACAAGGUCAAAUGGACGUCUCCUCCGCCUUCGACGGCCAACAAUAGCGACCCGAAUCAAACGUCGGGUCAAUCGACGGCAGCGUCGAACUCGUCGGCCCCUCCCGGAGGAGAUCCGUCCGCGGCCAAUGGAGGCGUUUCCGGCCGUCCGGUUGAAUGCAACGUUUGUCAGAGGCGUUUCAAAAACACGCCGGCCCUCAACGGCCACAUGCGUUUGCACGGUGGAUUCUUGAAGAAAGAGGCGGAAUGCAGCGGAUCCAGCGGGUCGGGAAACGGAUCCGGUGGCGGGGGUAGUAAUGGCAGCUCAGGCGGCGGAGGAGGUGGAAGCGGCAGUGGAGGCGGAAGUAGCAAAAAGCCGGGCGAGAGUAAGAAAGAUCCGAAUACGCCUCCGCUUCAGACGGCUUCCGUCUCGGUGCGUGCCCUCAUCGAAGAGAAGAUCAUCCAGCGCCGGAAUAAUAUGGCGGCCAACAAUCCCUCAUCGUCUACUACACCGACUUGUCCAUCGUCGGCUUCUACUUCAGGUACUACUACUACCAUGUCUGUCGUCGCUGCGGCGGCACCGUCGUCAUCCGCCAGUUCUGUUGUUGUCCAACAAGAGCAACAACAUUCUCAUGCCUUACCAAUCUCAGUACAAUCAGUCAAUCCGCCACCGGAAGCGUCUGUGAUGUUGAUGGACGUCCUAGAAGAGGAUCAAAGGGAAUCGAUGGAUGUUCAAUCACAGCAGCCGCUCGUUCCCAAAAUGGAGCCGGAAGGUUAUUUCGAAGGAUCGCUAUUGGCACUCAGCCCAGUCAGUCUUCACAGAGCCUUGGAAGGUGAUAUGGAUGCCAUACCUGAUGACGAUCCGGCAAGCAACGAAGGCGGGGUCUCUUCCGGAUUGCACAAUUUGCAUCAUCACCACCACCAUAGUCACCACGGUGAAAACUUUUUCUCGACAUCCUCGUCAUCGUCGUCUGCUCUGAGCGAAGUCCCCCUGCUGGACGAUUCCGUUUUCCAUCAGGUUUCAGCGGCUGCCGCUUCGGCGUUGCUGUCGGAUAUUAGCAGCUUGGAUUUGCAAUCUUACAUGGACAGCGGUAACGGCGGUGGCAAUCACAAUCAGCAACAGCACAGCCAAAAUGGCGUCGGACAGUAUUCUGAUUUGUCGCAAUAUUUGGCCAGCAGCGCUGGAGAUCACGUCAAUGAAUCUGUCGUUGUCGACUCGUCCGGAAUGUACGGGCACGACGCCGCUAGCGGUUUCCAGCAUCACUCUGAUGCCGGUUACGUCUCGUAUCACCACCACCAGCACGAAACGAGUGUAGGUGUAGUGGCUGGAUUGGUGAGCGCGGCGUUCGGCUUCGAUCCGUCGCCUUCGACGCCGCUCUCGUCUCUCUGUUCGCCGCAGCACUACGUUCAGCAUCAGUAUCAACAGCACAGCCAUCAGCCGGAUUACACGCACAGCAGCAAUAGCGUCGAUACGUGCUCCGGCGGAGGAGGAUAUCAAUCGAUGUUGAUGCCGGGCGUCGAUGCUUCACCGUACACGCCGUCUCCUUCACCCGUCAGUCCAUCCGUCACGUGCUCUUCUCUUCCGCACUUGCAGCGCUUCCAGCCGCAACAGCAACAACAACAGCAGCAGCAGGAUGCUGUUGGAUUCUAUUCGACGUCGAGUUUCUCCAGCGGAGGUGCGGCCCACAAUAACGCGCAGAGCAAUUUCAUGAUCGAUUGCGCCAAUAGCGUCUUGUACAACAUGGAAGCGAGCGGAGGAGGUGGAUGGGACCAUGCGGCCGAUUUGACCACCGUUGCCACGGACGCUCUGCCGCAGCUGAUGGAACAAGACCAGCCUUCCGAGCAGAUGGAUCAUCAACAGCAACAAUCUUCUGCCGUAUUGCUCAAGCCCGUCAAGGUGAAGAAAAGUCGGCCGUCGAGAGCCAAAAAGACGAACGCCAUCGACGCUGAGGCGGGCGAAGUUAAAAAACGCAAAACGAUGACGCUGACGGGCAAGAAGUGCAUCAAGCGCAGCGACGACACGGAUGACGUGUUGAUGCUGGGCAAAGGCAAUAGCAGCGCUAAAGGCGACGGCCAGUUUUUCAGCGCCAUGAAUUUGACGAGUUCGGCUUCGUCGGCCGGCCGUCAUUGCCUCAUGUUGAAUCCGAAACGCAACGGAGUUGGACUUUAUUGGAAUCUAGUCAGGGACAAACUGGUGAGCCCGCCACAAGUCCCAUCCAGCUCUGCGUCGCGUCAAAAGAGCCGCGUCCGCAUCGGGAAGGAUCACCAGUGCGCCGCGUUGCCCCGUUGCAAAAAGAAAGAGGCCAACAAGGAACGCGAAUCUGCCGUCCUUUGUUGGAGCGCUAAUUUAGCCGGAGGCAAAUCUACGGAGCUUGACCGGCUGCUGGCCUGGACCCGCUCGCCCGCUCUGCCUGGACCCAAGCGCACCGAAGAAGAGGUGCUGGCCGUCGUGACCCACUUUCACGGCGAUAUCCAAGCGGCCAAAUUGCACUUGCUGACUCAAUCAUCAUCCAGCCAUCACGUUCUCAAUAAUUGGACGCCAGAAGAGAUGACCGUCUUUCACGCCGCUUUGCUUCAACACGGCAAAGAUUUCCCCCAAGUUGCUCAACACUUACCUUCGAAAACGGCCAGCCAGUGCAUCCAAUUUUAUUACCUCUGGAAGAAAGUCUGCCGGCCUCACGAAUACGCGUCGAUUAAGCGUUCCAUGGUCGGCGGAUCAACAGCCGCCCCUCAAUCUUGCAGUCCUAGUCUGAUGGACGAGACUAGCCUUUGCGAUUGGCGUGACGUUGGAUGCAGCGAAAAUGAUCUAAUUAGCCUGACGCAACCGCCUGUCGUCGCCACGUCUGCGGCAGCAUCGCAAGAUUGCUCCACCUCCUCUUCGCCCUCCUCUUCUUCUCUGUUGCUGCUCUCCCCCUAUUUCCAGUAAUCGAGCGACUCCGCGACGUUAUCAAGGCAAUCAAUCUAAUGCUUCGCCUUCAAUCUCCCUGGCCGAUAAAUUGUAUCCCUGUUCGGUGUGUCACAAGGUAUUCGACAAAGUCAAGAGCCGUAGCGCCCACAUGAAGACG